GCAACACCUCUUCCCAGACUCCAGUUCCCUGGAAGAUCGGCGUGCCUGGAAUUCCCUCGCCCCUCUCUGCUUGUUAAAGCCAGGCCGAGCCUCGGCGGGACCGAGUCGAACAUUGGGGCGCCAGAAAAAGCCUCACCGUGCUGUGCAACCUGAGCUAGGUCUCCAGCACCUGGGCCUCAAGUGCUUCUCCUGGAUGAUUUUAUGAGAUUCGCCAACUGAUUACUUGCCAUCCUGAGGAUGCUGCACUCCAGGAUAAUGCCCCCUUGCAGCCAGGACUAAGAAGAAUCAUCUAUGGCCAUCCACAGCCCCCUCCACCCAAGCAAGCAAAGUGCUGGUGCUCGUGGGAGAUCAGUCCCUGCACAGAAACAUAAGCUGUGGGUACCUCCCAAUUCCCUCGUGAGAACACUCAAGCCAAGAAUUUCUUCCUGACAAAUGGCUCGCUGGAAGGCAGAAGCAAGGUCAUUCUGAGUGAUUCAU